GCCUCUCCACGCUAAUACUCCGUUGAUUCCAACCGUUAUCCAAAAACUACCUCCAGGGCUGAGACAAGUAGAUGGCCUGGGAAUGGCCCUCCUAAUGACACGAUGGUGGGUAACCGCAAGGGAAUGCGAGCCACCACCAGAGAUGGAGGAAUUUUUUGCGUAAACAUCGUCACCUCACGGGGGAGUUAGGGCUGUUUUCUUGGCAGAACUCCCCGAAGAUUUCGGGAUCGCAAUGCUGCUCCAACUCCAACCGGCCGCGACGGUCCAUGGCCGUCCUUCUCGUGCAUUCUCCACUCCUCAUGGGCCGAAGACGAGGAGAGGAGGGAUGCCAUGCCGGAAGCCAUCCACUACUCCUAUCCUGUGUCCCCGAGCCGCAAUUCCUUCAAGAACUCAAAGGAUAAUGGAAAAGAUUUCUUCGAAUGAUGAAGUAGGUGGAGCGGGGGGAGCUGGCUCAUACAAUGCUUUGAAGAGAUUGGAUCAAUUAUGGUCUAGUCUUUGUGCUUCUCCACUUGACACAGGAAAAGUUCCUGAAGUCGUAUCUCGAACUUUCAGUUCAUCCAGACAAUUUGAUGAGGAGAACCAACUUAGCUAUGGGUUUGAUGUAUUAGUGUGUGGUGGCACUUUGGGUAUUUUUGUUGCCACAGCACUAAUUUCCAAAGGAUUGCGAGUUGGGAUUGUUGAAAGGAACCUGCUUAAGGGGAGAGAACAAGAGUGGAACAUCUCAAGGAAAGAACUUGUGGAACUUGUUCAAGUCGGUAUUCUGUCAGAAGAAGAAAUUGAGGAGAUUAUUGCAAUUACAUUCAAUCCUAAUAGAUGUGGAUUUGAGAAGAUGGGUGACAUUUGGGUGAACGAUAUUCUUAAUCUUGGAGUUUCGCCAGCUAAGCUUUUGGAGAUUAUGAAGAAACGUUUUGUUUCCUUAGGUGGAAUAGUUUUUGAGGGCAAAUGUUUGUCUAGUAUACGCAUUUAUAAUGAUGCAGCAUUUCUGCAAUUCACUGAUGGUGAUGUUUUGUCAUCACGUCUGGUUGUUGAUUCAAUGGGUAAUUUCUCUCCAGUGGUGAAGCAGAUAAGAUCUGGCAGAAAGCCAGAUGGGGUCUGCCUUGUUGUUGGCACUUGCUCUCGUGGUUUCAAUGAGAACACAUCAAGUGAUAUUAUUUUCAGUAAUUCAUCUGUGAAGAAGGUUCGAGAUUCGGAAGUACAAUAUUUUUGGGAGGCUUUUCCUGCUGGUUCUGGUCCUACAGAUCGGACAACUUACUUGUUCACUUAUACCGAUGCACAUCCGGGGGCACCAAAGUUGGAAGAGCUUCUAGAGGACUAUUGGGAUCGUUUACCAGCUUAUCAGGGUGUAUCUCUUGACCAGUUGGAAAUAUUAAGAGUCAUCUUUGGUAUCUUCCCUACUUAUCGAGACAGCCCACUGCCUGCAGCAUUUGAUCGUAUCAUACAGGUUGGUGAUGCCAGUGGUAUCCAAUCACCUGUUUCUUUUGGAGGGUUUGGGAGUAUGACAAGACACCUAAGUCGGUUGUCAACAGGUAUAUAUGAAGCAGUAAUGGGAAAUUUUCUUGAUGCUUAUUGUUUGGGCUUGCUCAACCCUUAUAUGCCAAAUUUAAGUGCAUCGUGGUUGUUUCAAAGAGCAAUGUCAGCCAAGUCACAUACUGACAUAUCAUCAACUUUUAUUAAUGAGCUUCUUUAUGUAAACUUCCAAGCUAUGCAGGUAAGAGGCUGGGGGAUUCAGUUCUUCGGCCAUUUCUUCAGGAUGUGAUACAGUUUGGGCCACUUGUGAAGACCUUGGGUUCAGUGAUGCUAAACCAACCACAAAUUUUGCCUUCAAUAUUCAAACAGGUUGGAGUGGAUGUUAUUCUUGACUGGUCUGUGCAUUUUGUAAUGCUGGGUUACUACACAUUUCUUUCAUGCUAUGUUGAUCCUGCUGUUCGGCCAUGGGUGGAAUUUCUUCCACAAAAGAAGAAAUAUGAAUGGAAACGCCAUUUGGAAGCAUGGAAAUAUGGUGCUGGCUUAGAUUACAAAGAAAUGGAGUAAACAGCUUAAAGAAGGAGAAUUUUCCAGCUUAAAGAAGAGAAUUUUCAUAUGAUAUUCAUAGUUAAUCAAUUAACUUCAGAUCAUAUGUUUCUGUAUACAUUUUUUUUCUUAGCCCACGUUUGGGCUAUGAAUACUCCACACCAUGUCAUAGACGAUAACUUGGAUCUGUUUAGUGCAUUGACCAAUAUCUAAUAGCGGGUUGGUUACAUCUACAACCCAAAUGGAAACCAAGUGUUUCGUGGUUCAAAAA